rnacentral:rRNA from 1 species
UACCAGCACCUCGAGUGGUCGGGACGUUUAUUGGGCCUAAAGCAUCCGUAGCCGGUUCUACAAGUCUUCCGUUAAAUCCAGCUGCUUAACAGAUGGGCUGCGGAAGAUACUAUGGAGCUAGGAGGCGGGAGAGGCAAGCGGUACUCGAUGGGUAGGGGUAAAAUCCGUUGAUCCAUUGAAGACCACCAGUGGCGAAGGCGGCUUGCCAGAACGCGCUCGACGGUGAGGGAUGAAAGCUGGGGGAGCAAACCGG